GAUGAAGAACGCAGCGAAAUGCGAUAUGUAAUGUGAAUUGCAGAAUUCAGUGAAUCAUCGAAUCUUUGAACGCACAUUGCGCCCCUUGGUAUUCCAUGGGGCAUGCCUGUUCGAGCGUCAUUUGUACCUUCAAGCUUUGCUUGGUGUUGGGUGUUUGUCUCGCCUUUGCGUGUAGACUCGCCUUAAAAUAAUUGGCAGCCGGCGUAUUGAUUUCGGAGCGCAGUACAUCUCGCGCUUUGCACUCAUAACGACAGCGUCCAAAAGUACAUUUUACACUCUUGACCUCGGAUCAGGUAGGGAUACCCGCUGAACUUAAGCAUAUCAAUAAGCGGAGGA
rnacentral:misc_RNA from 1 species